rnacentral:tRNA from 1 species
UCUUAUGUGGUCUUGUUGUUGUGAUUCUUGGUUUUCAACCAGGCAGAAUGGGUUCAAUUCCCAGCAUGGAAA